AACGAACGCUGGCGGCAGGCUUAACACAUGCAAGUCGAACGCCCCGCAAGGGGAGUGGCAGACGGGUGAGUAACGCGUGGGAACAUACCCUUUCCUGCGGAAUAGCUCCGGGAAACUGGAAUUAAUACCGCAGACGCCUUACGGGGGAAAGAUUUAUCGGGGAAGGAUUGGCCCGCGUUGGAUUAGCUAGUUGGUGGGGUAAAGGCUUACCAAGGCGACGAUCCAUAGCUGGUCUGAGAGGAUGAUCAGCCACAUUGGGACUGAGACACGGCCCAAACUCCUACGGGGGGCAGCAGUGGGGAAUAUUGGACAAUGGGCGCAAGCCUGAUCCAGCCAUGCCGCGUGAGUGAUGAAGGCCUUAGGGUUGUAAAGCUCUUUCACCGAUGAAGAUAAUGACGGUAGUCGGAGAAGAAGCCCCGGCUAACUUCGUGCCAGCCGCCGCCGUAAUAC
rnacentral:rRNA from 1 species